GAUGAACGCUGGCGGCGUGCCUAAUACAUGCAAGUCGAGCGAAUGGAUUAAGAGCUUGCUCUUAUGAAGUUAGCGGCGGACGGGUGAGUAACACGUGGGUAACCUGCCCAUAAGACUGGGAUAACUCCGGGAAACCGGGGCUAAUACCGGAUAACAUUUUGAACCGCAUGGUUCGAAAUUGAAAGGCGGCUUCGGCUGUCACUUAUGGAUGGACCCGCGUCGCAUUAGCUAGUUGGUGAGGUAACGGCUCACCAAGGCAACGAUGCGUAGCCGUCCUGAGAGGGUGAUCGGCCACACAGGAACUGAGACACGGCCCAGACUCCUACGGGAGGCAGCAGUAGGGAAUCUUCCGCAAGGGACGAAAGUCUGACGGAGCAACGCCGCGUGAGUGAUGAAGGCUUUCGGGUCGUAAAACUCUGUUGUUAGGGAAGAACAAGUGCUAGUUGAAUAAGCUGGCACCUUGACGGUACCUAACUAGAAAGCCACGGCUAACUACGUGCCAGCCGCCGCAGUAA
rnacentral:rRNA from 1 species